GAUGAACGCUGGCGGCGUGCCUAAUACAUGCAAGUCGAGCGAACAGACGAGGAGCUUGCUCCUCUGACGUUAGCGGCGGACGGGUGAGUAACACGUGGAUAACCUACCUAUAAGACUGGGAUAACUUCGGGAAACCGGCGCUAAUACCGGAUAAUAUAUUGAACUGCAUGGUUCAAUAGUGUAAGACGGUUUUGCUGUCACUUAUAGAUGGAUCCGCGCCGCAUUAGCUAGUUGGUAAGGUAACGGCUUACCAAGGCAACGAUGCGUAGCCGACCUGAGAGGGUGAUCGGCCACCCUGGAACUGAGACACAGUCCAGACUCCUACGGGAGGCAGCAGUAGGGAAUCUUCCGCAAUGGGCGAAAGCCUGACGGAGCAACGCCGCGUGAGUGAUGAAGGUCUUAGGAUCGUAAAACUCUGUUAGUAGGGAAGAACAAAUAUGUUAGUAACUAUGCACGUCUUGACGGUACCUAAUCAGAAAGCCACGGCUAACUACGUG
rnacentral:rRNA from 1 species